rnacentral:rRNA from 1 species
UAUUGGUCAAUGGCCGCAGGGCUGAACCAGCCAAGUCGCGUGAGGGAUGACGGUCCUAUGGAUUGUAAACCUCUUUUGUCAGGGAGCAAAGGACGACACGUGUGGUGUUUUUGCGAGUACCUGAAGAAAAAGCAUCGGCUAACUCCGUGCCAGCAGCCGCGGUAAUACGGAGGAUGCGAGCGUUAUCCGGAUUUAUUGGGUUUAAAGGGUGCGCAGGCGGUCUGUUAAGUCAGCGGUCAAAGCCCGGGGCUCAACCCCGGCCCGCCGUUGAAACUGGCAGUCUCGAGUUGGAGAGAAGUAUGCGGAAUGCGCGGUGUAGCGGUGAAAUGCAUAGAUAUCGCGCAGAACUCCGAUUGCGAAGGCAGCAUGCCGGCUCCACACUGACGCUGAGGCACGAAAGCGUGGGUAUCG